rnacentral:rRNA from 1 species
AGUGAACGCUGGCGGCAGGCCUAAUACAUGCAAGUCGAACGGCAGCACAGCAGAGCUUGCUCUGUGGGUGGCGAGUGGCGGACGGGUGAGGAAUACAUGGGAAUCUGCCCAGUCGUGGGGGAUAACGUAGGGAAACUUACGCUGAUACCGCAUGCGCCCUUCGGGGGAAAGCCGGGGACCUUCGGGCCUGGCGCGAUUGGAUGAGCCCAUGUCGGAUUAGCUAGUUGGCGGGGUAAAGGCCCACCAAGGCGACGAUCCGUAGCUGGUCUGAGAGGAUGAUCAGCCACACUGGAACUGGGACACGGUCCAGACUCCUACGGGAGGCAGCAGUAGGGAAUAUUGGACAAUGGGCGCAAGCCUGAUCCAGCCAUGCCGCGUGAGUGAAGAAGGCCUUCGGGUUGUAAAGCUCUUUUGUCCGGAAAGAAAAGCAUCCAGUUAAUACCUGGGUGUCCUGACGGUACCGGAAGAAUAAGCACCGGCUAACUUCGUGCCAGCCGCCGCAGUAAGAC